AAGUCGGCAUAAACUUUCUAGGGCAUUUUUAGGGUUUGCAACUUAUGGAGUAGUAGUAUAUAAGCGUUGCUGCCGAUCAAUUGAGGGAUAAAAUGAUAAAUCAAAUGAUAGUUUCUUAAACUACAUUCAUACAUAGUCUUUUCUCUCUCUCUCUCUUUUUUUUUUUGAGAAAUAGUGUUUUCUCUCUCUCAUUCCAUUUCAUUUUUCUUCUUCUUAUAAGCUCACUGACUUGCCGAUUCCAAUUUUGCACAAAGUUGUUUGAUCUAUAAAAAUAUUUCUAAACUAGAAGAAAUCUGCUCAUUUUAUAUCUGAUCUACAAAUAAAUUUCCAAACUUUAAAAAAUUUGCUAGUUCUGAUUUCGCUCAAAGUUCGUUGAUCGAUCUGAUAUUGAGCAAUGGUGCUCCCCAUGAUUUUAUUCCACACCCGCAAGUCCUGGAAAAUUGAUAUUUACAAGGGUCACCGCCUUUACCCUGGAGUGAAAAAUCUAAGACUGAUUUUUGGGGAUGAAGGUCGUCUAAAUACUCUUAAUCAUAGUUCAUAUGGCAGUGGCAUAGUUGGAAUUUGCGAGCUUCCUUUUCAUCCAGUUAGUUCGGAGGUUAUUGGAGGAGUUGGUGGAACAUGUGUAAUUCGUGGUUGUGUUCCCCAAAAAAAAUUGGUGUAUGGAGUUGCUUUUGGAGGUGAACUUAAGGAUGCAAAAAGCUUUGGUUGGGAGUUGAAUGAGAAGAUCGACUUCAACUGGAAAAAAUUGUUGCAGAAGAAGACAGAUGAGAUUAUCAGGCUCAAUAACAUUUACAAACGACUGCUAUCUAAUGCUGGGGUGAAACUAUACGAAGGUGAAGGCAGGAUAGUUGGUCCUAAUGAAGUCCAAGUGACACAAAUAGAUGGCACAAAGUUGUCAUACUCUGCAAAACGUGUAUUGACUGCAACUGGUAGCCGGGCGCAACGUCCUAAUUUUCCUGGGCAGAGAAGACAAUUUGGAGUCGUUGGAGGCCAUGAAGCCCUAGGUGGAGCUCAACACCAGAGGAUGAAUUUUCUUUUCUUAUGCCGCCGCAAUUAUGUGGAUGCCCCAAUGGCUAAGUUUUCCAAUAAAUUUCCAAAGUCGAUCGCGGAAUAUGAAAAGUUUUACCAUCUUUAUCGAGAUCAACUUUUAAAAGGCUACUACUUAAUGAAAAUGGACAAGAUUAAUGAAAUAAUUGUCAUUUCCAAAAUAGAUUUUGUCAAUUUAGUAAUGUUUUGUCCAAUUAAGUAUAGAUCUUGGCUAUGGGAAGAAUUAGUACGUAGGCGGGUAGUUGUCCUUGAUUCUGAAAACCUACCUUCUCAUUGGCCAGUUCAGUUCUUUCAUAACCUACCUCCAGUUAAACAAUUAGUGCACCCUAUUCAAAUGUUAAUCCCUAUUAAGCCAUCAGAUAGUUGGAUUAAGAUUUAUGUUGAUGCAUCUUACUCCGAAAAAUGGAGUUCUACCGAAGCCGGGGGUGGGGUAGUUUUAUUAGACCCAUCCGGAAAUGUCAGGUUGUUUUGGACCAAAGUGGCCGCAAGGUCAGCUUUUAUUGGGGAGGGAUAUGUUAUUUAUUCAGCCCUUACCUAUGUUUGGAGAAAUGGUUUUACCCGGGUAGAACUCGUAUCUGAUUGUUUAGAUUGGGUAGAUGUCUUAGAGGGACGUUCGUAUGUUCGUGAUGAGUACAUCAACCUUUAUAGCAAUUUGUUAAAUGUACUCUCUCAGUUUGAUUGUUGGGGGUAAUCAAACAUAUUCCGAGAGAGGGCAAUGGUUUGGCUGAUAUGAUAGCCAGGUAUGUUACGAGAAACAUUUUUCCUAAGAGUUUGGGAUAUAAAAUUUUUCCAUUUGAGGAACAUCUGGCUGGAAUGAGUGCUCAAAUUCUCAAAUUGGAGAAUAAUUUCCCUUUUCUGAGGAUUGAAGAAAUUACCUCUAGUCGGAAGAAAAGGUUUACUCCAAGACCUGUUAUUCCUAGUUUACUUGUUAAUACUACGUAAUUUUAGUGUUAUUCAUUUGGGCUAGGUGAUACGGAUUACGGAGUAUAUAUUUGACUCAACAUAUAGUGGGCCUGUUCAACAAAUACAAUUGUACUUUGCUGCUGGAUAAAGACUAUCAAUUUAGAAAUUAUUUAUUGAGUCCACAUUAAAAUUACGUACUAUUAGAAGUUUUUGUCAUAUAUUUUUUUUUUACACAGUUUAUACAUUCAAAUUAGGUUUGAUUUUAAUGUUUUAUUCAAUUUAUUGUCUACAUUCUAUAUAUAUUGAGUACAAUAUUUUUUUGUUUCUUUAAUUUGUUGUUGAUACAUUUAGACUUUAACUCUAUAUACUCAUUCGAUAAUCUUUUGUGAUACGGUGUAUAUACAUACGAAAAAAUGUAAUUGUUUUUUGUAAAUCCUAUUAAUUUGUCUUAGUAAUAUUUUUUU